CUCAUUCUGGCUCAGCGGUUAAGAGAACUGGCUUCUUGCUCUUCCAGAGGUCCUGAGUUCAAUUCCCAGCAACCAUA
rnacentral:tRNA from 1 species